AGGUCAGGACAAGAAGAAGACGACGCAACCGUAACCAGAGAAGGCAAAAUCAUCAAGGACGGAUGGGUAGACUAUGAAGGAGAAGUUGUAAGGUCUGAAGACAUACAACUUGAACAGAACUAUCCUGAGGAGACCGUAGCACCGAGUUAGGUGUGUAGAGAGAAGAUAGUUAUACAUGAAGAGCAGGCGCCGCCGGAACCACCGACUACGCCAUCCAACGAAUCCCAGGACGACUGAGAAAACAGAGGGUCCCGUUCGGAGGACUUAAAAACACCGAACGCCUUGCCAAGAGGUAAACUUGGUAGUUAUCCUUUCCCUUUCAAUUAUUUUAAAAUGGUUUGCUUAGUUAAUCAGGUUCAUAUCAUCUUGAAAAGAAAAUAAAAAUAGUAAGCCCCAUGUGAUUAUGCUCAUGGCAUAAAACCCAUAAGUACAUUCACUGUGGUGGCAUAAAAAUGAAAUAAAUAUAUUCCUGUCCUAUAAAAAUAAAAUUGUAAAAAUAAGAUUGUGAUCCUACUAAAGAGUGUAACCUAUAUUGAGGAGGCUCAACAUGAUAAAGGCUAAAUAUUUAUGCUAACACUUAACUAGUUCCACAAAGCUUUGUUGUCUAUUUGAGCUCCAUAGAAUUCAAGGAUCAAAGAAGACUAGCAGACGGAGGACAUCCUAACCGCUGUCAGGAUGCUGCCGACAUUCAAAUACACCUCCGUCACCUGCUAGCUACAUCAGAAGAAAUUACGUCAAAAUCCAGCUUGGGGGAGAGCACUCCCAUUUAUCCAGCUAAGUGUUCUACUCAUGUUUAUACUUUACUCUAAUAAUAAAAAGAUGCAUAAUCAUAAAAACCCAAAUAAAGAUUUUUUGCUUAUAUCUUUGCUUAGUUUGCUAAAUAAAUAAAUAAAGUUUGCUAUGAACCCUCAUGAUAAGCUCUCACAUGGAAAUGAUGAAUAGUUGCUCUGCCAUGACUAAUUCUCAAAAUUGAAAUCUCUCUCAAGUUUAUGCAUGACUGGUAUUAAUUAAGAUUUUCUCUCAAACUGAACUUGUGGGGAGAGUACUUGAUCUAAAAGUCUAAGUCGUUAACGGAUAUGAUAUGGGAAGGUUGAGCUGCUGUUUAUCUGUUCCUAGAGAUGCUAGAAUUCUGGAGAAUUUUAUCUUUGAAAACCUUUAAAAUGUUGCAUGAUGAGUUCCUGUAUGAUGAGAGUUUAAAUUCCUACCACAGCCAUAUAUACAUGCUUGCUAGACUUUGAGCCACACAAUUAUCUUUUUACUGCUUAUGAGCAUUGAGUGUGGUCAAGCUGUAGACCCUUACGAGCUUGUCAUGUGGUUAAAUCAAGAUUCACUUGCACGUUCACUCAGACAUGCUGCUUCUACUCUGGAAGUACGCAUCCACAUAUAUCCACUCAUUUCCGUCUCCAGAACCACCCAAAAAUAUUCUACUCCUAAUCCGAGAGAGAAUAGCCAAAAAUAUUUCUGUUUUUCCCCUAUGAAAUAAAUGCUCAAGUUAUCUUGGUUACUACCACUUGCUAUAUUAUUUCAGGAAAUGAGUGCUCUGAAAAAAAAGUGAAUACGAGGAAAUAAAAAGGGGCAAAUGCCCGGAACCUCGAAAGAAAAGAAAAAGUGACACGAGAGGUAAAAAUAGACAAGUGUCCGAUAGUAGAAUUAGGGGUACAAGAUACCCACCUGAGAGGAAAGAAAAAAAUACAGAGCAUCUCAUUCUCCCCAAAAGUUUCAAAAGAGCAAGAAAGGUAUGUAUCCUCUCAAAAGAGCAAAAGUAGAAUUAGACUUUCACCAUUGUUAUCACCAUCAUCACCAUACACCAUUCAUUCGCCACACAUGCACAUCUUGAUUUGACUUAUUGACUUGUUCUUCUGGAUCCAUGGUUUGACUAUGGAAUAAAUGUCUUGUAAGUAUGUAUUAGCUGUCUCCCACCUAUGAGCUCCAGAUAUCAAAAGCCUUAUUAGAGUAGGGUGAGAGAGAAGGCAAUGCCACUAUGCCUUAUACCACAAAUACCACAUACUUUGAGAGAAGGCAUAUACCAUCACUGCCUUGGUAAGGAUCCAGAAAUACCACAAAAGAGAGACUAGAGAGAGUCAUACAAGGAAUCUCUGAGUUUUAUUUGAAAAUCUGCAAAAACUCCAGAGCUAUAGUUAAUCGAAGAACAAGAGACAUGGUGCUUGACUAGACUGUUCUAUCUUUUAACUGCUCAAGACACAAGUGACGGUUACAAGCCCCAUGGUGGAAGGUAAAACGAGUAAGUUUAAAUCUUAACAGUUUACCCUAACCCAGAUAUGAGAUCUUGUUUGAACGCAUGUGUAUCUUUAAGGUAUGAAACCACUGAAGAAACUCUUGAGUUCAUCUUUGCUCAGGGACGAGCAAUGGUUAAGCUUGGGGGAGCUUGUUGACGGUCCUUAAUGCUCAUAUUUAACCAUCAACUAAUCAUGGAAAAGGAUCCAAAUGCAACCAACACCCAGACUUAGGGUUUUAUCUCAUAGAAUUCCAAGAGUUUUGGUGUUUGUCUAUUUCUGCAGCGGGUUAUCUGGAAAUACGGAGGAAAGGCCCACACGUCGGGUUUACAUAGAGAUAUUAACGUGCCGCGCAAUUUUCUAUCAUCUAGAAGACUCCAGAAGCCACGAGAACGAAGCGGAGGCCGAGAGGGCUCAGGCACAGGGCGCCCGCCCUAGUCCUGAGGGCGCCCGCCCUGCUACAAUGCUCAAUCAGAGUCCAAUUCGGGGACAACGCUCCACCGACCUAAAGGAUCAAGGAAAACCAUGUGAUUAAUGUCGGUUUGAUCCAACGGCCCAAAUUCAUCUGAAAAGACUAUAUAAGAAAGGCCCCCUGGCCCCUGGACAUCAUACCUCUUCUACAGAAUCAAAGUUAGGGUUUCAAUUCUUCAUCCAAGUAGAGAGGAUCCCUCUAGUUCUUCUAGUUCUACCUCUAGUUCAUCUAGAUCUAGUUCUAGUUCAUCUAGUUCUAGUUCUAGUUCCUCUAGUUCUAGUUCUAGUUAGUUCUAGUUGUAAUCUAUAAAAUAGGGAGAGAGAAGAGGAGAGCGGAGGAGGAGGAGCCGGAUCUGUCGGAUCUUCCUCAACAUUGUACUUUUGCAGCAACUGGUUCAUUCUUCAUCGUUCUCCAGGUUCUUCAAUUCAUAAUUCCUGAGUUCUCUAAUUACUUUUAUUUACAUUCAAGUUAUUUAUUGGAUUCCUGCUUGCAUCAAGUGCUCUAAUCUUUGAAACAUUAGAGUAGUAAUUAAUAGAUUAGACGUGGUGUUUAGUCUUGCAAUUACCUAGAAUUGCACCCAAUCCUGCGGAUUGUUGUGGUAGCCUUAGGGUAGUGACAGCCCUAACGGUCGAUGUAUUCCACCUCGUUUAGAUCGGUGUUUGUAGGACCGUAGUCGGAGCUUCCUAGCCCCCUUCUCAUCUCUUUCUGUGGUUAGUGUUCUGAUGUCCCGAAAUAGAUAAUCUUGAAGUAAUUCUUGAUUCUUAGAUCAACUAGAGAACUCUUAGGAAACUUCCUCUCUUCCCACCAAAAAUAAUUAUAUAGUUAUCCUUGGGUGAUCUUGGAUCUUAAUUAGUACACUCACAUUCUCUGUGGAAAAUCGAUACUCUGGAAUACUCCCAGGUGAAAGCUACAUCGGUAUCCGUGCGCUUGCGGAUUUUUCUGUUUGCGUUUAAAAUAUCCAACAGGCAGCCGGCCCCACCCUGGGGCCGGUCGGUGCCCUGUUUCGUCCGAUGCCCGUCGCCUUCUGGAGUCUUCCUCCCUCGCAUCCUUGGAAGCCAAGCAAAGUAUCCCUCCAUCGAUUUUAAGUCAGUUUGCUCCGACGGUGCACACAAGAUGAAGACGUGGGUCGCUGACGUGGCGGUUCCUUGCCCCCCUACUCCACCUCGGCCUAUAUAAGGACGCCCAAUGCUCCCCCAAGAGGCAUUCUACACCCCGGCGCUUCAUAUUCUCCACAUAAUUAGGGUUAGGGUCCCUAUAGUUGAUCUAGUUCUAGUUGAUCUAGAUCUAGUUCAUCUAGAUGUAGCAAUUAGGAGAGACUAGUUCUUCUAGAUCUAGUCUUGUUUAGAGAUUAGAGUGAUUAAGUAGAGGAGUAGAGAUUCUAGAGGAGUUCUGUCAUGUUGGUGCUUCUUCAUGGGUGUAUUCUUCUGGAUUCAGUUCCCUCGGCCGGAGCUGCGUUCUCAAGUACUUUUGUACUUACCCUUCUGAUUUAAGUAUGUAACUUGUUCUUAUUCGUUCUUUGGUUCACAACUCAUAUUGAGUGCUUUGAUCUUGGUCGUAACUUGGUCGAAGUAGUAUUUUGUAGUGCAGGCGUGGUGCCUAGGCUAGGUUUACUUGUGAAUGUCCCCUGAUCAGCCGAUCAGUGGUAGUUCACGUAGGUGACUUUAUAGCUGCGUUGAUUCCUCUGUAGUCCACUUCCCAUUGAUAGGACUGAUAGGCUUAUAGGUGCUUGGUAGGACAUUACUCUGAUUCUUCUCCUAUUCGGGGUUAGACGAUAUUAUACAAAGUUUACUGAGUCAAAACCAGAGUGUAUUAGCUAUUUCCUUUUUCUUGAUAUGAUCUAGCCUAAGUCUAUAUACUAUGUCAUCAUCACAACUAUUCCCUGUGUAUACGAUAUUUAAAACCUCCGGGUAAAAUGUGACACUGAUAUGAUAUCUAUGCGCUUGCGGAUAAUCUUACUUAAAUCUAUUUAAAUGGAGUGCAGUUAAUUUAUACCAACACCGAGCCAAUAGGGCCAUCCCCGCCCAAGAAUGCCUCAUCGACAACCGAGACCCUCAGGAUGCAUGCCACGACACCAACAAAAACCGAUGGCACAAGUGCGGGAGCCAAGAAUUGAGGCUACAACGUGCAUCAAGGGGGACGCUGUGACAGCGACAAGGACUGUAGGGCUCUCGAGCUACCAGGGCAAUCCGUAGCACGCAGUUGCCUAAUCCCUUUUGACUGCCUACAAGCAUCAUUAAAUACAAUGGUGAAACCAAGCCCAAGCUCUAGCUCACCGAUUUCCAUCUCACCUGCCAGUUGGGCGGAGCUCGAGGCGAUGACUGCACCAUCAUUGAUCAGUUUCCCCUAUUCCUCUCCAACAUGGCUCGCAGGUGGCUUGAGGAACUCCAUCCCAACCAGAUCUACAGUUGGGCCAACCUAGUUCGGGUCUUUGAGGGGAACUUCAAGGGAACCUAUGUCGGUCCCCAGCAAAUCAUGGGACCUCAGCAAGUGCAAGCAGUGUCCUAGGGAGUCCCUCCAUGACUACACGCAAUGCUUCUCCAAGUAGCACACCAAGCUCCUACACAUCCCUAACCAUGAUGUCAUCCUACUAUUUGUUUCUGGCACCACCUGUAGGGAGUUAGUUUGGGAACUAGGGCACAACCACCCAAAGACCAACGAUGAGGUGAUGGACGUGGUUGCCAACUAUGUAGCGGGUGAAGAAGUAGUUGGAGCAUUCUUCAAUGAUGGGAAGGACAAGGCAUAGGAACAAGCGGAUGGCAGCGAGGGCCUAAGUAAGGGCUCCAAGAAGAAUAGCAAGAAGAAGAAGAAGGUCCAGCAAGGCAAGUAGGAGGCUGCGGAUGAUGAUCUCAUCACUGCGGUUGAGCGCAAGAAACCUCGAGGUCCCCCUGAGGGGGCUAUCUUCAACAAGAUGUUGAAGGAGCCCUGCUCUUAUCACAAGGGAGGGGCCAACCACAAGCUUGAGGAUUGCCGCAUGCGCAAAAACUACUUCAACAGCUUGGCCUUCAAGAAGGAUUACCAGAAAAAGGACAAGGGUGGCGACAGAGGUGACGAUAAAGAUGACAACAAGUUCCUCGAGGUCCUCGACUGCUACAUGAUCUAUGGCGGCCCCUCGACAUAGCUCAUGUCCUUAUAGCGCAAGAGGGAGCAUCGAGAGGACUUCUCGAUUCGGGUGGCUACACCCUAGUACCUCGACUAGUCUAAUGCGGCCAUCACAUUCGACCAUGAUGACCAUCCAGAUCACGUCAUCAAUCGUGGUGUCUACCCGCUCGUCGUUGACCCAAUCAACGUCAACAUUCGCCUCUUGAAGUUGCUCAUGGACGGUGGCAGCUGUCGACACUAGCUAACACCACUUGAAUACUAGGUUGUCAUCCUUAGCAUGGUGCCAGAGUGUACAAAGGUAUUUAUGAAUGUAAAGGCUCUCUAGAAAAUAAUCUAUUCUACCGCAAGCGCACGGAUAAAACACCUCAUUGUAGCAUUUCACCAGGAAAGUAUUCCAGGUAUCGUUAUUUAUAAUUUUGCUUAAGAGGACAGUGGAAAUGAAGAUAAGGAUAAAAUCUAUCAAGGCAUAGACUAGAGAUAAACUUGCAAGAACAUGAUUACUAAUGAGGAACUCGUCACACAGUCACUUACUUUGGCAGGGGGUAAGCCAUAAUAAUAAUGAUAAUGAAAUAUAAGCUCAUGGGUAAAUAACACAGCGAUUAGAAAAUAGACUACUCCUUAUAUAUGUAAGGUGACGUUGGAUUAGCUACAGAAUGGAUUCUAAGUUAUCUACUAUCUACUAAGUCACAAUCUACUCUAGUUAUCUACAAGAUCAUAUAUAGCAUAAAAGACUCUUCAUUCAUGCAUAAGGAACAUUGCUAAAGUAAAUCAGAGCAUCGCAAGACUUACUCCGCAAAACAAAUUCUGCGUGUCCUAUCAAUGGAGGGUGGACUAUAUAAGAAUCAACGAAGCUGUCACUAUCGCGAACUACCACACAACCCAGCCAAUAGGAUACAUUUGCAGGUAAAUAACAUCUAAGCACCACGCCCACAUGUGAUCUACCACUUAACUCCCGCGCGUCAAGAGCUAAGCGCUUUGCAAACUUUUACAUAAACUCAUUAUCAAUCAUAACUAUAUCAAAUAUAGAACUAGAGCAAACUAAGAUCAUAAUAAAUAGAGACAUAAUGCAAUUAGAAUAAAGUAGUAGAGAAAGAUAUGAAAUAAUACCAAUCUUUAUUAACGAAGAUCCGAAUCCAGAGCGCUAGGAUCUACUUCUCUAAUUCUAUCUAAUCACCUUUAUUCCGGAGUUUUGCAUAAGUUUUCAAAAAUAAAGCUCAGAGUUCCUAGCUAUGAUUCUCUCAAGUCUCUCUAUAUGUGGUAUUUAUGGAUCCUUACAAAGAUGUCACCUACCUAUAGCUAAUGGAAUAUUUAAGUGGAGCUCAUAGGAGUGAAAAACAGCUUAUACAUAUGUUGUCUAAUCGAGCCAUGGAUCCAAAGAAACUCAGCAUAUAAUUAAAUCAAGAUGUGCAUGUGUGGUGGAGUAAAUGAUAGUAAUGGUGGAAAUAUAAGUAAUGAUAAAACUUACUUCUCAUUGCUCCUCAUAUUGCUAUCUUUCCUCUUCUUUGAUCUUUACUUUGGGAGAACAUGGGCUAUCUUUUCUUCUUUUCUUUUUUUUCAGGUGGGUAGUAGAUACCCCUAAUUCUACUAUCGGACAAUUGUCCAUUUUUUCCACUCAAGUGGGCAUAUUUGUACGCCUAAUUCGACUCCGGACACUUGUCUAUUUUUACCUAUCGUCUCACUCUUUUUCUUUCUUUUUCGAGGUUCCGGGCACUUGUCCCUUUUUAUUUCCUCGCAUAUUUUUGCAUAACCCAUGCCUCUUCCGCAUUGAAUCUUUUUGGAGAGAGAGAAUAACAACACUUGGGACAGUGAGUGAUAAUAUUUUUAGCAAUUUUUAAUGAAUGGUGGUGAAUGGUGUAGUGGAUGUGUGCAAGUGAAUAUCUUAAUUUAACCACAUGAAAAGCUCCUAAGGGUCUACACAGCUCGAUCAAACUCAAUGCAAAUAUAAGUAGCAAAAGAUGUUAUAGCAAGUAUGGCUGUGAUAGGAAUUUUGUCAUGCUAGGAACUCAUCAUGUGAUUUGCAAGUUUUCAAAAUAAAUCUCCAGAACUUAGUGUAGUAGGAACAAGAUAAAUAGUAGCUCAAACUUUAUAUCAUGCCUUUCUCUUACCUAGACUUUAGUUUUAGGUUCAUGCUUCCCAUAAAUAUUAAAUUUUAGUUUUUAGUAAUUCCUGGAAGAACUCUAAUAUAAAAGCUAGGUACUCAAAAGUAAGCAAACAGAGCAACUCUUCAUCAUUUCCAUCAUGCAUCUUUUUGGUCUUUCAUUUUUCUAGAGAUUAACUUAGCAGGAAAAAUAAAGCACACUUAUCUACACACUCUUUUUAUGUGGUUUGUAUUUUUAUAGAAUGCAGUAAAUUAAGCAAGAAAAAUAUUUAUUGGUUUUUCUAAGUUUUUCUCCUUAUGAUAAAUAAAACACUAAAUUAGAAAAGAAUAAAUAAGAAGGGCAAAUAAAAAUUACUUGAUAAAAUGGGGAGAAACUCCCCCAAGCUGGAUGUUGUUGUCGGUCUUACACAAAGUUCUAGAAUCGCAUCAUGGUGGUGAUGUUGUCGUUCAUUGUCGUGGUGUCUUGCCUUAGUUCUUGCACUGCAGUGGCGUGGUCCUAGUUCCACUUUUGUUGCUGUUCCAGAAGUCGUCCAUGUUCCGCUUGCGUAUUCUGGAUGUCGAGGAGGGUGUUGUUGGUACGGGUGAAGAAAGCGCCGGCCUCUUGGUAGUAGUCGUUUGUGAAAGCAUAAGAGGCGUCGGAGUACCGUCCUGCAUCGAAUUGGGGCGGGGGUCUAGACCUUGAAGCUCCAUAUGGAUCAGUGGAGUACUUGCCCGUAUGGAAAGGCGGGUUUGUCCACUGGUGAUCUUGGCACUCCGACCAUGUCUCCUGUGUUGGCUCUUGUGGUUGAGCAUGUCGAACCCAUGGGUCCCGAAGGACUCGGAGGUUGUAUUCUCAAUAAUGCAGGUGCGCUGCUCCUUCUGGCCCGGGAUCAGCUCCAUACCAGGUGCGUUCUUGAUGGGUGGUCAUCCUUUUAGAUGCCACUCGUUGUGGAGCUCUCUGGUUUACCGGUGUCACUGCAAUCUCAGUCAAAUAAUUUUGAACGACAUAGAGGCCAAGGUUCGGGUUAGGUAACCGAAUCUUGCCUUUAUUAUUGUAUAACAUAUACAUUAUGUUCCCCUCUUUUUUGAACAUCCGAGCUUGCCUAAAUGUGUCAUAACCAUGAUAAAUUCGUAACUCGUCUAUGAAUUCCAAUGAUGAGUUUUCUAGCAAAUUAAGAUUAGAGGCUAGACGAGUGACGAGUGAAGUACAACCGACAGGUCCCUGAAGACUUGGUAUACUAAGCCAAUGAGAAACCAAAAGAGUAACAGGUGAAGUAGGUGUUUUAUUUAUAGCAGCAUAUAGAAGUUGUAAAUCUCCUACUCUUACUUUUCUAAUAUCAUCACGAUGGAAAAGAUUGUACCCGAGCCACUGUUGACGGUCCUUAAAGCUCACAUUUAACCGUCAACUAAUCACAGAAAAGGAUCCAAAUGCAACCAACACCUAGACUUAGGGUUUUAUCUGACAGAAUUCCACGAGUUUUGGUGUUUGUCUAUUUCUGCAGGGGGUUAUCAGGAAAUACGAAAGAAAGGCCCACACAUCGGGUUUACAUAGAGAUAUUAACGUGCCGCGCAAUUUUCUAUCAUCUAGAAGACUCUAGAAGCCACGGGAACGAACGAGAGGCCGAUCGGGCCCGGGGGCAGGGCGCUCGCCCAAGUCCCUUGGGUGCCCGCCCAGCUACAGUAACCAAUCAGCUUCAAGUUCGCGGAUCGUGCUCCACCGACCUAAGGGACCAAGGAAAACCGUGCGAUUAAUGUCGGUUUGAUCCGACGGCCCAGAUUCAUCUGAAAAGACUAUAUAAGCAAAGCCCCCUGGCCCCUGGAGAGCAUACCUCUUCUACAGAAUCAAAGUUAGGGUUUCAAUUCUUCAUCCAAGUAGAGAGGAUCCCUCUAGUUCUUCUAGUUCUACCUCUAGUUCAUCUAGAUCUAGUUCUAGUUCAUCUAGUUCUAGUUCUAGUUCUUCUAGUUAUAGUUCUAGUUCAUUCUAGUUGUAAUCUAGAAAAUAGGGAGAGAGAAGAGGAGAGCGGAGGAGGAACCGGAUCUGUCGGAUCUUCCUCAACAUUGUACUUUUGCAGCAACUGGUUCGUCCUUCAUCGUUCUCCAGGUUCUUCAAUUCACAAUUCCUGAGUUCUUUAAUUACUUUUAUUUACAUUCAAGUUAUUUAUUGGAUUCCUGCUUGCAUCAAGUGCUCUAGUCUUUAUAACGCUAGAGUAGUAAUUAAUAGAUUAGACGUAGUGUUUAGUCUUGCAAUUACCUGGAAUUGCACCCAAUCCUACGAAUUGUUGUGGUGGCCUUAGGGUAGUGACAGCUCUAACGGUCGACGUAUUCCACCACGUUCGGAUCGGUGUUUGUAGGACCGUAGUCAGACCUUCCUAGCCCCCUUCUCAUCUCUUUCUGUGGUUAGUGCUCUAAUGUCCCGAUAUAGAUAAUCUUGAAGUAAUUAUUGAUUCUUUGAUCAAUUAGAGAACUCUCAGGAAACUUCCUCUCUUCCCACCAAAAAUAUUCAUAUAGUUAUCCUUGGGCGAUCUUGGAUCUUAAUUAGUACACUCACGUUCUCUGUGGAAAAUCGAUACUCUGGAAUACUCCCGGGUGAAAGCUACAUCGGUAUCCGUGCGCUUGCGGAUUUUUCUGUUUGCGUUUAAAAUACCCAACAAGCUUUCUGGCGCCGUUGCCGGGGAACGGUAGCUGUGCUAGUUUCGAACCAAGUCGCCCGUGUAUCCUUUUUCUUUUCGUUUUUUUUACCACACUCACCGUACCAUUUUCACCGUACCACAUGGAUUUCACUCUAAGCAUUAAUGAGCAUGGAAUUUAUUUCAUAGCCACUUCAUUUACUACAUGCUCAUAUGCAACAUCUUCACAAUCCAUUGGUCUCUCCAACAUCACCACAUUCGAGAUCUCCAACCCCCUCUUCCUUUCUAUUCAUAAAAACUUUAAAAGGGCGGUUGUCGAUGCAUAUGUCUAUAUUAAAUAUUACAGAUCUCGUUGAGUUGAUCUUGAUAUAGGUCAGCGUUGGAGGGGUAACCACUUCGCCGACAUAAAUUGAUGGUUUCCCAAGGACAACCUUAGUGUCCUCAAACAAGCACUGAUCAGAUUGUAACAUGAGCUUAUAAUUAUUUGCAACAUUACCUUGUGAGUUGAGCAUAUAAGGAUAAUUGUAAAAAUAUUCCUUCGGGUAUUCUUGUCGCUAACCUUUCCAGGAUUGGAGCAAGAAGAUCGGAUGAAUGACAAGUACAAGGUAUGUCCAACCAAUCAUCAUACAACAUUGAAUUAAAUUCAUCCAAACUUGAAUUUUGCAAAAUUCAAGCUUGGGGGAGUACUUUACAUAAAUACAUCCUUUGCCAUGUUGCUAUGUUGGUUGUCCCUACCUUUGAGACAUGCUCAAUUUGUUAAAUACUAAUCACACUACUUCAUCUCCACUUGAGUAGAUCUCUAUAAAUGCUCUCAUGCUACCUUUAUUUGCUUUAGUAUAUGUCUAGGCUUGGAGUAGUUUCUUUUAUCUCUUAAUUAAGCAUGGUGCUUAGUUUAGGGCUGAUGAUCUUACUUCCAAAGGAUUUGAAAUUAAGCAUGGUUCUUAGGUUAAAAUUCCCUCCUAAAUCAAAUUAGACAUGGUGUCUAGGUUGAUCUUUGAGCCGAUAGAAUGCUAUAGUAGAUAUUGGAUAUUUUGUUGGACUAACCCCUGCAGGAAAACUUUCAAUAUCGACCUGGGAAGUCCUGAGACAAACUCACAUUGGAGACAAAGAGAGAGACACAUGAAGUUUAACAAUUUACACAAGGAAGACAUAGCUCACAAGAGAUGAUCCAUAGAGGGUGCCACAAACACGAUGCACAACCGCUAAGAAAGGAAAGCUUCCACAAGGUGAUACUGUACCAUCACUCUUCAAGUAAGGUAAUAUCUUAAGGUACUUGACUAUCACUUUUAUAAGUUUCUCCUUGGUUCUAGCGUUCACAUGAAUAAAGAGACAAACAUGUAUGAUUUACAAGUCUUGAUUAACCAACCCAAUAGAUUCAACAUGUUUAGUCCUUCCACCUUUGUGAUCCCACACUCCUAAUCUUAUGAACUAAAAUGUUGCACACUCAAUCUUUGGAAGAUAUAUUUUAUAAAAAAACAACAUAAAUAUAGAUAUAUUAUCUUUCCAUUAGGUUGAGCGAAUUGAUCUGACAAAUGUUUUAAAUGUUAUACUCAUGAUCUUAUUAUCCAUCAACUCUGUCUUGCUCACUAUGCUUAAGGUUAGAGAAGAACAAAUACACUUUUGGUUCUGUUGGUGUUUUCCACCAACAAGGCCCAUGCACUUGAUCUCUGCCUUGUCUCUAUGAGCAGGUACACUUCGAGCAAAAAUAUGAAGGACUUUUACAACUCCCAGACUCCACUAAGUAAAGAACCUAGAUCUACGAGCACAAACACACUGGAGAUACUGGACACUCAGGCAAUCACUGCCCAGUGAUGCUUGAGGACGUAACUACUGGAGUAACCCCAUUGUGGAAGUAAUUACUGACCUUCUGCCGGUCAAGAGAGACAAUCGAGGACGCCCCGUCAUCCCGAUCUCCAUCGGCAUGGUGGACUUCCCAGAAGCACUCUGCGACUUUUGCUCCAGUGUCAACAUUAUGCCUAGGGGAAUAUUGAAGAACCUCUGCGUCCGAGUUGGUACCUUGUACGCCCCAGCAGACUUCAUGCUGAUAGAGACUGGUACUGAUGAGAGGGCACCGAUCAUCCUAGGGAGGCCAUUCCUGAACACCUCAGGAGCUAUCAUCUACGCUAGUGCUGCCAAGAUCAGUUUCUACAUCAAGGGUAAAAAGGAGACAUUUUCAUUCAAGAACAAGACUACACAAAUCUCAGAGCAAUCCCGACAUGAACCAAGGACGAGGACCAACAGGAGGAACAGGAACAAACAAAUGUGGACUGAGUCAGCUAAGAUGGUCACUGCAGUUCAAGGAGGUCAAGAUCGUCGACUUAAGUCACCGUUCCUGACCAAAAAGGACGACCCAGAUGGCAGGUUAGACAUUCCGAAAGGUUGAAGGUUAUUGACAUGGGAGAAGACAAGUACAAUCCACCCAUCAUGCUUGGAAGACCGUUCCUCAGCACCGUUAAAGCAAUCAUCUACAUUAGAACCAGAGAAGUCCACAUGCAUUAGCCCUCUGAGAAGGUACGCCACUAUUUUACUGACCCUAACUAUAUAGUUGAAGACUCUAAGCAGGUCAGGACAAAAAGAAGACGACGCAACCGCAACCAGAAGAGGCAAAUCAUCAAGGACGGAUGGGCAGACUACGAACGAGAAGUGGUAUGGUCUGAAGACAUACAGCUUGAAUAGAACUGUCCUGAGGAGACCGUAGCUCCGAGUCAGGUGUGUAGAGAGAAGAUAGUUAUACACGAAGAGGAGGCGCCGCCGGAACCACCGACUACGCCAUCCAGCGAAUCCCAGGACGACUGAGAAAACGGAGAGUCCCGUUCGGAGGACUUAAAAAAACCGAACGCCUUGCCAAGAGGUAAACUUGGUUGUUAUCUUUUUCCUUUCAAUUAUUUAAAAUAGUUUGCUUAGUUAAUCAGGUUCAUAUCAUCUUGAAAAGAAAAUAAAAAUGUUAAGUAAGCCCCAUGUGAGUAUGCUCAUGGCAUAAAACCCAUAAGUACAUUCACUGUGGUGGCAUAGAAAUAAAAUAAAUAUAUUCCUGUCCUAUAAAAAUAAAAUAUAAAAAUAAGAUUGUGAUCCUACUAAAAAGAGUGUAACAUUUAUUGAGAAGGCUCAACAUGAUAAAGGCUAGGUAUUUAUGCUAACACUUAACCAGUUCCACAAAGCUUUGUUGUCUAUUUGAGCUCCACAGAAUUCAAGGAUCAAAGAAGACUAGCUUCUGACAUUCAAAUACACCUCCGCCAGGGUGCUUCUGACAUUCAAAUACACCUCCGCCACCUGCUAGCUACAUUAGAAGAAACUACGUCAAAAUCCAGCUUUGGGGAGAGCACCCCCAUUUAUCCAGCUAAGUAUUCUACUCAUGUUUAUACUUUACUCUAAUAAUAAAAAGAUGCAUAAUCAUAAAAACCCAAAUAAAGAUUUUGUGCUUAUUUAUAUCUUUGCUUAGUUUGCUAAAUAAAUAAAUAAAUAAAGUCUGCUAUGAACCCUCAUGAUAAGCUCUCACAUGGAAAUGAUGAAUAGUUGCUCUACCAUGACUAGUUCUCAAAAUUGAAAUCUCUCUUAAGUUUAGGCAUGACUGUUAUUAAUUAAGAUUUGCUCUAAACCUGAACUUGUGGGAAGAGUACUUGAUCUAAAGUCUAAGUUGUUAACGGAUAUGAUAUGGGAAGGUUGAGCUGCUCUUUAUCUGUUCCUAGAGAUGCUAGAAUUCUGGAGAAUUUUAUCUUUGAAAAUCUUUAAAAUGUUGCAUGAUGAGUUCCUGUAUGAUGAGAGUUUAAAUUCCUACCACAGCCAUAUAUACAUGCUUGCUAGACUUUGAGCCACACAUUUACUUUUUACUGCUUAUGAGCAUUGAGUGUGGUCAAGCUGUGUGGACCCUUAGGAGCUUGUCAUGUGGUUAAAUCAAGAUUCACUUGCACGUUCACUCACACAUGCUGCUUCUACUCUGGAAGUACGCAUCCACUUAUAUCCACCCAUUUCCAUCUCCAGAACCACCCAAAAAUAUUCUACUCCUAAUCCGGGAGAGAAUAGCCAAAAACAUUUCUGUUUUCCCCUGUGAAAUAAAUGCUCAAGUUAUCUUGGUUACUACCACUUGCUAUAUUAUUUCAAGAGAUGAGUGCUCCAAAAAAAGAGAAAAAAAAUAAUACGAGGAAAUAAAAAGGGGCAAGUGCCCGGAACCUCGAAAGAAAAGAAAAAGGGAGACGAGAGGUAAAAAUGGACAAGUGUCCGACAGUAGAAUUAGGGGUACAAGAUACCCACCUGAGAGAAAAGAAAAAAAAGAAGAAAAUAUAGAGCAUCUCAUUCUCCUCUUCAAUAGAGCAAGAAAGGUAUGUAUCCCCUCAAAAGAGCAAAAGUAGAAUUAGACUUUCACCAUUGUUAUCACCAUCAUUACCAUACACCAUUCAUUCGCCACAUAUGCACAUCUUGAUUUGACUUAUUGACUUGUUUCUCUGGAUCCAUGGUUUGACUAUGCAAUAAAUGUCUUGUAAGUAUGUAUACUUUAUCUCCCACCUAUGAGCUCCAGAUAUCAAAAGCCUUAUUAGAGUAGGAUGAGAGAGAAGGCAAUGUCACUAUGCCUUAUACCACAAAUACUACAUACUUUGAGAGAAGGCAUAUACUAUCACUGCCUUGGUAAGGAUCAAGAAAUACCACAAAAGAGAGACUAGAGAGAGUCAUACAAGGAAUCUCUGAGUUUUAUUUGAAAAUCUGCAAAAACUCCAGAGCUAUAGUUAAUCGAAGAACAAGAGACAUGGCGCUUGACUAGACCUUUCUAUCUUUUAACCGCUCAAGACACAGGUGACGGUUGCAAGCCCCAUGGUUGAAGGUAAAAUGAGUAAGUUUAAAUCUUAACAGUUUACCCUAACCCAGAGAUGAGAUCUUGUUUGAACGCAUGUAUAUCUUAAGGCAUGAAACCAUUGCAGAAACUCUUGAGUCCAUCUUUGCUCAGGGACGAGCAAAGGUUAAGCUUUGGGGAGCUUGUUGACGGUCCUUAAAGCUCACAUUUAACCGUCAACUAAUCAUAGAAAAGGAUCCAAAUGCAACCAACACCUAGACUUAGGGUUUUAUCUGACAGAAUUCCACGAGUUUUGGUGUUUGUCUAUUUCUGCAGGGGGUUAUCAGGAAAUACGAAAGAAAGGCCCACACGUCGGGUUUACAUAGAGAUAUUAAUGUGCCGCGCAAUUUUCUAUCAUCUAGAAGACUCCAGAAGCCACGGGAACGAACGGGAGGCCGAUCGGGCCCGGGGGCAGGGCGCCCGCCCAAGUCCCUUGGGUGCCCGCCCAGCUAUAGUAACCAAUCAGCUUCAACUUCGCGGAUCGUGCUCCACCGACCUAAGGGACCAAGGAAAACCAUGCGAUUAAUGUCGGUUUGAUCCUACGGCCCUGAUUCAUCUAAAAAGACUAUAUAAGCAAGGCCCCCUGGCCCCUGGAGAGAAAACCUCUUCUACAGAAUCAAAGUUAGGGUUUCAAUUCUUCAUCCAAGUAGAGAGGAUCCCUCUAGUUCUUCUAGUUCUACCUCUAGUUCAUCUAGAUCUAGUUCUAGUUCAUCUAGUUCUAGUUCUAGUUCUUCUAGUUAUAGUUCUAGUUCGUUCUAGUUGUAAUCUAGAAAAUAGGGAGAGAGAAGAGGAGAGCGGAGGAGGAGCCGGAUCUGUCGGAUCUUCCUCAACAUUGUACUUUUGCAGCAACUGGUUCG
rnacentral:lncRNA from 1 species